AUUGAACGCUGGCGGAAUGCUUUACACAUGCAAGUCGAACGGUAGAGGGGGCAACCCCUUGAGAGUGGCGAACGGGUGAGUAAUAUAUCGGAACGUGCCCAGUCGUGGGGAUAACGUAGCGAAAGUUACGCUAAUACCGCAUACGAUCUAAGGAUGAAAGCGGGGGAUCGCAAGACCUCGCGCGAUUGGAGCGGCCGAUAUCAGAUUAGGUAGUUGGUGGGGUAAAGGCUCACCAAGCCAACGAUCUGUAGCUGGUCUGAGAGGACGACCAGCCACACUGGAACUGAGACACGGUCCAGACUCCUACGGGAGGCAGCAGUGGGGAAUUUUGGACAAUGGACGCAAGUCUGAUCCAGCCAUUCCGCGUGCAGGAUGAAGGCCCUCGGGUUGUAAACUGCUUUUGUACGGAACGAAAAGGUUUCUAUUAAUACUUAGGAGCUCAUGACGGUACCGUAAGAAUAAGCACCGGCUAACUACGUGCCAGCAGCCGCGGU
rnacentral:rRNA from 1 species